CUAUAUGGGUGGAGCAAUGUAUCAUUUAGUGCGCUACUACUAUUGCUCAAAGAAUUUCUUCCUGAAAACUCUUCUUUGUCAGUAACAUUCCAAGAUUGCAAAUAGUUAAUCAAAGAGUUAGGUUGUAGUUAUGAAAAAAUCCAUGCUUGUCCUAAUGACUGUAUCCUAUUUUGGAAAGAGCAUGAGAAUGAAGAUACAUGCCCCAACUGUGGCGCUUCUAAAUAUAAAGAGAGAGUGUGUCUAAAUCUUAAGAAGAAAGUUUCUUGCAAGGUAAUUUCUCCUCCGGUUCUAGCCAAAGUAUUGAGGUAUUUUCCUCUUAAACCGAGGAUCAAGAAGUUAUAUAUGUCAUCAAAAAUUGUUGAUUCAAUGAAAUGGCAUGAGAAGGGUCGUCCUAAUGAUGGAAAAUUAAGGCAUCCUGCAAAUUCACUUGCUUGGAAAACUUUUGAUUCACUACAUCCUGAUUUUGCAUUGGAUCCACGAAACGUGAGGCUUGGGUUAGCAAGUGAUGGAUUUAAUCCAUAUAAGACAAUGAGUAGAAAAUAUAGUAUUUGGCCGGUUUUUCUAAUGUCAUAAAACCUACCUCCAUGGGCUUGCAUGAAGCAACCUUAUUUGAUGUUAUCUUUACUUAUUUCAGGUCCUUCUUCCCCUAGUUGAUGUCUAUUUAAAACCUCUAGUUGAUGAGAUAAAGGAGUUAUGGGAGAAAGGAUUUGAAACCUAUGAUGCCUCUAGUAAGCAAUAUUUUAUUGUUCAAACUGCAUUACUUUGGACUCUAAGUGAUUUCCCUGCCUACGCUAUGCUAUCAGGUUGGCAUACUAGUGGAAAGUUGGUGUGCCUUGUGCGUAACUAUGAUACAUGGUCCAAGUACUUGUCGAAAAGUAAAAAGAUGUGCUACAUGGGUCAUCGUAGAUUUUUGGACUCUAAUCAUAAAUGGCAGAAAAAUAAGAAGUGUUUUUAUGGCUAUGAAGAAUUUAAAGUUACUUCAGUUCCAUUAUUAGGUUCUACUUUAUUGGAAAAAAUUGGCGAAAGACAGAAUUUAUUUGGAAACCCUCAAAAGAGGAAAAUAAAUAAUGUUGAUCUAUGGACAAAAAAGGUAUAUUAUUUGGGUUGGCAUAUUGGGAUACUAAUUUGCACCGUCACAAUCUCGAUGUAAUGCACAUCGAAAAGAACAUUUGUGAAAAUGUAAUUGGAACACUAUUGAAUGUAGAUGGGAAAUCAAAGGAUCAUAUCAAAGCUUGCCUUGACUUGGUAAACAUGGGUAUAAGGCAGGACAUUCAACCAAUAGAAAUAGAACCAAAUAAAUAUUAGUUACCACCUGCACGAUUUACUCUUUCAUCAAAAGAAAAGGAUAUCUUUUGUGGCAUUUUGAAAGGAGUGAAGCUUCCAGAAAAUUAUGGGUCUAAUAUUUCUAAUUGUGUUCAACUUGAGCAGCAAAAACUUCUUGGGCUUAAAAGUCAUGAUUUUCAUAUGUUGAUGCAAGACUUACUUAAAAUAGCAGUACGAAGAGUUUUACCAAAAGAAGUCACAAGAGUUUUAAUUAAGUUAAGCUCAUUCUUCAAGAUUUUAUGCUCCAAAGUUAUCAAGAUUGAAUUAUUUGAAUGUUUGGAUGUUGAAAUUGCAUUGAUUCUUUGCGAAUUGGAAAGAAUUUUCCCUCCAUCUUUUUUUGUUAUAAUGGUUCAUCUAUUAAUACAUUUAACAUACAAAGCUAGAAUUGCAGGACCCAUGCAUUAUCGUUGGAUGUAUCCAAUUGAGAGGUAAUUUGAUUUAUAUUUUUGUCCUUUUGUAGGUUUCUUCUUAAUUCGUACUUAAGUUUUAUACUUUUAUGCUUAUAAGUUUCUUCUUAAUUUAAAGAACUAUGUGUGUAAUAGACGUUAUCCAAAGGGUUCUACUGCAGAAGGGUAUAUAGCAUAUGAAUGUUUGACAUUUUGUUCAAGGUACUUAGAUGACGAUAUCCAAACAAAAUUCAAUAAACCAGUAAGGAGUUUAGAUGGUCCUAUAGGAGAUGGAGUCAUGACAAGUUUGGAUCCUCUUACAUAGGAGCAAGCUCAUCAAUAUGUGUUAUUCAAUUCUGAAGCUAUCAAACCAUUUCUCAACCAACAUGAAGAAUUUGUUUUCAGUCACAAUCGUCAAGGUUCAACAAGAAAAUGGAAUAAGGCUAAAGAUCAAUGUCUUACUUUUCAUGAAUGAUUUGAAGAUCGAGUAAGGAAUUUAGAUGUUAAUGAAGAUGUUAAAUGGUUGUCUAAAGGGCCAAAUACAGUUGCAAGAAGAUUUUCUGCAUAUGCAAUAAAUGGCUACAAGUUUGUCAUUGAAAGUCGUGAAAGAAGCAAGAAAGAUGAAAAUCCAGUGGUAUAAAAUGUUCCUACUAGGGAGUUUUAAAAGAUACAAUUGAAUUGGAUUACUAUGGACAUUUCAAGUUUAUGUUGUUCAAAUGUCAUUGGUUUCAAAUUAAACAAGAUGGUUUUGGAUUGGUACUCAUAAAUUUUCAUAGGUUGAUCUAUGAAUGAUCCUUUUGUAUUUGCAUCUCAAGUAAAGCAAGUGUAUUAUACAAAAGACCCAAAUGAUGAUUGCCA